CCAGAAAAAAGGCCAGCUAAGCCAGAAGUACUGAAUAAUUGGCCAAACCCUUACUUUAUCUGACUACAUCCAGCCUAUGAUUCUCCCAGGAACUGUCCUGGGAGCAGACAAAUGAAGCAGGGCCAUCUGUCAACUUGGAAAAGAUCCCACACCAGAGACAGACAGAACUUGAGAAAAAAAUUUAAUUCUUGGACUGCCACUUCUGGACAAGAUUAGGAAACACCUAGAAUAAAGGACAAAAUACGGAAACAAUGAUUCUCAGAAAAUUGAGCAUCAGGCAAGAAAAGACAGUGAUCCCUGAGAGAUGGAAAAUGAAAAGGUCAGUUUAAUUUGCCCAGGUUUUCU
ensembl:lincRNA